rnacentral:rRNA from 1 species
CAAUAGCGUAUAUUAAAGUUGUUGCAGUUAAAAAGCUCGUAGUUGGAUUUCGGGGCAGCCUGGCUGGUCCGCCGCAAGGCGAGUACUGGUCAGCCGCCCUUCCUCUCGAAAGCCCCGACUGCUCUUCGUUGCAGUGGUCGGGUAGUUCGGGACGUUUACUUUGAAAAAAUUAGAGUGUUCAAGGCAGGCCUACGCCUGAAUACAUUAGCAUGGAAUAAUGGAAGAGGACCUCGGUCCUAUUUUGUUGGUUUCCAGGGCCGAAGUAAUGAUUAAGAGGGACAGUUGGGGGCAUUCGCAUUUAAUUGUCAGAGGUGAAAUUCUCGGAUUUAUGAAAGACGAACAACUGCGAAAGCAUUUGCCAAGGAUGUUUUCAUUAA